GAAGAUUUCUCAGUUUGAACAGUUUGGUCUGGCUGAAUAGCUUUAUUUUUGAAAAGAUGAAGGUUGACAUUCCUAGGCUUUAUUAAAGUCUAUUUA
ensembl:ncRNA F01G12.11 ncRNA